AUUGAACGCUGGCGGCAGGCCUAACACAUGCAAGUCGAACGGUAACAGGAAGCAGCUUGCUGCUUCGCUGACGAGUGGCGGACGGGUGAGUAAUGUCUGGGAAGCUGCCUGAUGGAGGGGGAUAACUACUGGAAACGGUAGCUAAUACCGCAUAAUGUCGCAAGACCAAAGAGGGGGACCUUCGGGCCUCUUGCCAUCGGAUGUGCCCAGAUGGGAUUAGCUUGUUGGUGGGGUAACGGCUCACCAAGGCGACGAUCCCUAGCUGGUCUGAGAGGAUGACUAGCCACACUGGAACUGAGACACGGUCCAGACUCCUACGGGAGGCAGCAGUGGGGAAUAUUGCACAAUGGGCGCAAGCCUGAUGCAGCCAUGCCGCGUGUAUGAAGAAGGCCUUCGGGUUGUAAAGUACUUUCAGCGGGGAGGAAGGGAGUAAAGUUAAUACCUUUGCUCAUUGACGUUACCCGCAGAAGAAGCACCGGCUAACUCCGUG
rnacentral:rRNA from 1 species